GAGGAUAUAGCUCAGUGGUAGAGUGCAUGCCUAGCAUGCAAGAGGUCCUGGGUUCAAGCCCUAGUGCCUCCA
rnacentral:tRNA from 1 species